rnacentral:rRNA from 1 species
UACGUAGGGGGCAAGCGUUGGUCCGGAUUUAUUGGGCGUAAAGCGCGUGUAGGCGGCCAGAUAGGUCUGCUGUGAAAACUCGAGGCUCAACCUCGAGCUGUCGGCGGAAACCAUCUGGCUAGAGUCCGGAAGAGGAGAGUGGAAUUCCUGGUGUAGCGGUGAAAUGCGCAGAUAUCGGGAAGAACACCCGUGGCGAGGGCGGUUCUCUGGGACGGUACUGACGCUGAGACGCGAAAGCGUGGGGAGCGAACAGGAUUAGAACCC